rnacentral:rRNA from 1 species
CAUAGCCGCGGUAAUACGUAGGUGGCAAGCGUUAUCCGGAAUUAUUGGGCGUAAAGCGCGCGUAGGCGGUUUUUUAAGUCUGAUGUGAAAGCCCACGGCUCAACCGUGGAGGGUCAUUGGAAACUGGAAAACUUGAGUGCAGAAGAGGAAAGUGGAAUUCCAUGUGUAGCGGUGAAAUGCGCAGAGAUAUGGAGGAACACCAGUGGCGAAGGCGACUUUCUGGUCUGUAACUGACGCUGAUGUGCGAAAGCGUGGGGAUCAAACAGGAUUAGAUACCCCGGUAGUCCCUGUCUCUUAUACA